CUUCUUUCCUCUCUUCCACUACCGACAAAGCCUGCUAGUGUGAAUAUUUUUGAAGUUUGAUAGCUGCAUGGGGCAAUUAUGGACACCGCACAAAGGAACACAAGCAUGCCCAUGAUGAACGACACAAAGACACCUCUACAUGAGUUGUGGAAACCGUCAUCCUUCUGCUGCAGAGACGAUUUCAAGCCAUCUGUGGUCUACAAAUGGCAUGCAUCCACGCGUCUCCUCCUCCGUGGCUACAGGGAAAUCGGCAGCCCAUUAUAAGGCUGAAAUAGGCCUGAAGAAUUCUUCGCCUCAUCUCCUCAGCCAUACCUCCAGUCAAGUGAAAGGGCUGACAAGCCGUUCCUCGGUGGAUCUCGUGGAUCACUUCCGAUUCAGUUUCAUCUUUCUGACAGAUGGCCUCGCAUUCUCUUCAAGCACCCUUUGAUAAGAUGCCGAAAUCAUAGGUGAAUCAAUGACUGCAAGCUGCCCAGUCCCCGAGGCAGAAAGGCAACCCCCAAACCGCAACAUUUCCGGUACCAUGCCUCUCUGUUGGUAUGAGGUCUGUUUGGUCUGCUCCAAACAUUACUGUUGUUACUGUGGCCAAAUAAAUCUGUCUUUGAUUCAUCUAUGCAGAACACAUUAUUCCAAAAGCCCUGUCUUUGCCGAUGUGUUCACUGGCAAACUCUAGUCUCCCUCUAAUGUUCUUUUUGGACAGCAAAGGCUUUCUCCUGGCACACCUCCAACGCAGGUCAGACUUGUGCAAUCUCUUUCUGAUGGUAAACGGAUGCACUUUGACACCACCAGUUGCGGUAGUUAUCUGCAGAUCCUGUGAUGAUAUUUUGAGUUUUUGGAGACUUUUUAACCCCUUUUUACAUGUAAAAAUCUGCUCCCGGGCUGAAUUCGCUGGGAUGGCCAUUCCUGGACAAAACUGGCAACACUCAGAUGAUUUUCCUCACAAGUAGAAUGAUUAGCUCUGAAUUGGAUUUGGAGAUCUUUUUAAAUCCCUUGCCAGACUCAUAGGCAUCUAUUACCGUUUUAUCUGAAGGCUUUACAAAGCUCUUUAGAUCUUGGCAUGAUAACACCAGACACUUCAAUAGCGAAGAGAAAAGCAGACUACAGUUGUCAGAGGUUUGAAAUAAGGCGGUUUCUACCUGUCACUUUAUAAGAAAGUUCUUCUCAUUAGCACCUAAUCUGAAACUCCUGAUUCUAAAUUGAUGGAUUGUGGGACAUGAUAAAUGGAGGAGUACACUCGGGUUUUUUAGGUCACAGAUCUGUUUAUUUAUUUAGAUUACAGCAAGAAUUUUUUAUGUAUCCGUUGCUUGAGUAUAUCACGUUUAUUGACAGGCACGGUUUAAAAGACAAUCCAGUGUUUCCUUAUUCAAAUAUGUAUAUAAAAAUCUUAACAGUUUCCUUGCGAUAUACCUUUUUUUCACAAAGCUGUAUGCAACAUAAAGCAAGUUAGUACAUCAUUGUGUAACAUCACUUAAAUGUCAAAUGAUUCAAAAUCAUGUCAUCACACUCCCACCUCUGUGCUUCACUGUCAGGACUAUGCAUUCACUGUGGUAGUUUUGAUCAGGUACAUACCAAACAUGCUGGAUCCCAUCUCGUUAUACACUGUAUAAUGACAAUAAAGCAUAUUCUAUUCUGUUCUAUUCUAUCCGAGCCCAGAAAAUUUAUCUUGGUCUCAUCUGAGCUAAAUGUGCCUCCUCUAUUCAUCAGGAGCCUUUACAUGUCCUUUAGCAAAGUUUAAUUUUGUAAUUUUGCACCAAGGAGCAAGCAAGGGUUUGUUUCUUGGAUGGCAUCCGUAGAGUUGGACAUUAUGAGCUGUCCUUCACACUGUCUGAACUGUUGCAGAAACUCUGAUUUGCAUUAAUGAUCCCAGUACCAAGUCUGAGGCACCUGUCAGUCAGUUUUUCCGAGCUAGAUUGU